AGUGAACGCUGGCGGUAGGCCUAACACAUGCAAGUCGAACGGCAGCACAGUAAGAGCUUGCUCUUACGGGUGGCGAGUGGCGGACGGGUGAGGAAUACAUCGGAAUCUACUUUUUCGUGGGGGAUAACGUAGGGAAACUUACGCUAAUACCGCAUACGACCUACGGGUGAAAGCAGGGGAUCUUCGGACCUUGCGCGAUUGAAUGAGCCGAUGUCGGAUUAGCUAGUUGGCGGGGUAAAGGCCCACCAAGGCGACGAUCCGUAGCUGGUCUGAGAGGAUGAUCAGCCACACUGGAACUGAGACACGGUCCAGACUCCUACGGGAGGCAGCAGUGGGGAAUAUUGGACAAUGGGCGCAAGCCUGAUCCAGCUAUACCGCGUGGGUGAAGAAGGCCUUGGGUUGUAAAGCCCUUUUGUUGGGAAAGAAAAGCAGCAGGUUAAUACCCCGCUGUUCUGACGGUACCCAAAGAAUAAGCACCGGCUAACUUCGUG
rnacentral:rRNA from 1 species